AGUUCUCUUUGUCGAUCCGCCACCGACAAGCUCUCUCCCUUCUGCAGUAAUUGGCAAAAGUGGUUGUUAGCUUGAAGGAUGCCGUGAAAUAACUAGCUUCGCUCAGAAACAAGCUGAGGAUGAGAGAGCAAGAGCUUCAUGGCACAUGGUUGCUCAUAGUUGCUUGUCCUCAGAUUCAUGAGGGUGGAUGGGAAUAUGGGUAGUAAGCAUGGAGUUGGGGCUCCACCGUGACGCUUGCCUACCCUUGGUUCGUAAAACGUGGAUGGCGUGAUGUGGUUCUUCAAUGCCGUGACAGUGUCAGCCAGUGGCGAAGAGGCUUGAGAUUUUUGCUGAAUUUGAGUAGUUCUGCCAUUGUUGCUAAUCCGCGUCUGGCCACGCGUUAGGACAGGAGGCGCGCGAAGGGCAUGGUCAAGGGUUAGUGCCGAUCGGCCCUAAUACUACCUUUUCUAAGCAUCACUGGCGAGCGCGAAGAAAGGGAAGUUUGUAGCGAUGUCAUGUGCCGAUACAGUUUAAAGUCCAGGAUACACGGCCAGCGACCACUUCUGACCGAAGCAUAAUCCCCGGAUGAAAAGUCGUGGGGUUUGGAGACAAUCAAAAUCCUCCAUCUGCGAGAUUUCUUGAUAUCCAUGAGACCUUAUCAAACAUCAUACUGCCUUUUUUCGACCCACAUGUCCAAAGAUGGUCAGCGCUAGCACCCGCUUCGGUUUCCAUCAAUCGAAAGACGAGAGUACCAACCUCGCAACUCCGAUUGUGUGACGAUUGUUUACUGGUCUUACACAAUCAGGCAUAUGUGGUACCUCAGGUCAAGGACCGAAACUAUCAUUCCGCUCGUCUUAGAAAGUCAUUAUUUUAUUUGCCG
rnacentral:lncRNA from 1 species